AAGGCGAGCUACAGAGGGGUGUUUGUUUACAGGACACUACGGCCUUUAUCUCGACCAUCAUUUUUCCCCUCAGCCAUGUCAGCGCGAGGCAGGACAAGGGAUGACAUAGUUUAAUGGGGGUCAAGGGGUAAACUUGGGAAGAAACAUGGUGUGAUGGGUUGAAGGGGUGAAAUGAUAAGAAAUAAGGGGGCUCUGCCGUAGGGGCAGAGUCUUGGUGGAAGCCGUAGAGGUAAGACCUGUGUCGUUCACCACUCUCCAGCUGUGCCACUAUCAUGUCUCCCGCAGAGGCACUAGUUCAUAAACUCUACGGGGCCCCUCUGGCACGUUAUGUGGACAUGGAGCCUGCUCUGGGAUUAAGGUGAUUGUGUGGCAUUCAUUACGUUCUACAAGGACCUUCGACUGUUCCCGCAAUUGCGUUUGACCGCAUCCCAAUAAAUUGAGAAGUGAGUACAACGCAAGUGGUUGUCAGUCACUCCUUUGCCACACCAUAAACGCAACUCACCAAUGCGUUUACAGUCCCCCUUGUUCGUGAAUACUACGAAAGUGCAGGUGUUGCUGACGUAGCACAAGACUAGAACGAGCUAGCCCCACUAAAAGCCUGGUAUUGACCGCGAUUAAUCUUACGCAAGUAAACCACAACACCUCACCUCUCGUGAUCCAGAUGUUGUGCGCGCUGGAUGGACAUAAGAAACUUUAAAUAUGUGUCUAGGAGUGGGUAUCCAGUGAGCCCUCAGGGGCACCUUAAACUUCUGGUGACGAAAAGUAGACAAGAGAACAUUCUGGUGAUCGUGUGUUUUAAGGGAAGGGAUGAGUGUACUACCUAGUCGAAUUCCAGACCUUAAGGAUGACAAUGUAUGUAGCUGUGUAUGUAAUCUCUGACGCGUAGACGUAAGCAGAUAAAAACUGUAUAUAAGGAGGAAGCACAGAACGACUCGCGUAGCUCUCCGGUCGCCAUAAUAUACUAGUAGGUAGUGCCAUUAUUUUUGAACAGGUCCAGCUCAGUCUUGCUGCACCAUGAGACUACCUGUCGUUCACUGCCUCCUCUGGCCAUUAUUAUCUCACCAACUGUGGUGAGCUGCAAGGGCAGCCACACCCUCUCCAACCCCCGCCACAUCCACCACAGCCGCAGCCUGCUCAGCCACACCCACCACAGUACUAGCCUCACCAACCACAAAACUGUGUCAACAUUCUCACAAGAUAUUUGAGUGACUUGGUUAUGGUAUAUGGCCAUUCUAUACAUUCUGAAUGAAUAGGAGUGUUUGUAUGUUAGUAUUCUCACAAGAUACUUGAGUGUAACUUUUUGGUAAUGGUAUAUGACCAUUUUAUACAUUCAGUAUGAAUAGGAGUGUUUGUUGCUCAGAUUGAUUAUUUUUCAAUCAUAUUGUUUCAUUCCUACAAUGGUCUUCACAAUGAAAUUGUAGUGAAAUAAGUAAGGAACAUUAUUAAACAACCAAAUGGUGUUGAUGUGUAGUAUAUUUCUAGGGAAGGUUCCAAAGCUUACAUUACAUUCAAAAAGGGAUCUGUAACUCCAAAAUUCACUUUCUCUAUUAUUUUCUCAAAUUACCUAAAUGAAAAUAUGAAAGGUAAAAAUAACGACACCAUCCUCAUUCAUCAAACACUAUCAUAAAUUAAGGUUGAUUUUCAGCUGUGGGCCAUGACUACUGAACGGUGCACCAAGUGGAGGUAGACCAGAAAUUACCUCUCCUGCCUCAAGUGCUGAAAGUAUGUGUGGUUCAUAAAUUGAUAUAUCAACACGGGCGAGAUCCGUAUGAACGUAACAUAUUUUAACCAUAUCUUAACGAGUAGGCUAUACUUUCAGUUGUGGCGUUUCUUACCUCGGGAUCAUCACACUUGUGUCAAAUUAUUAGUGCUGGGUCAAUCAACAGAUUAUUAUCAUUAUUAGGUCUUCUGUACCAUGUUUGGCUCUUGCAUGAGCGUGAAAGCUUUUUGGCUUCAAUUGGGAAGCUUAAACCUUCAGUCUAAGAAUAAUCACUAGCUACGUCUUAUGGCUCACAUCUUGCUGUGUAAUAAUAAUAAGUACAAUGAAAACUACAUGCUUCCAUUCAAAUCCUUUGUAACAAGCAUGAUGCUACUUGGUCCUUUUACAAUAAGAUUCAAUAGUUUAUCCUGUAUGCAUAAAUAAAAUAAUUAAUUAUAGAAAAUAGAUUCCUUUAAAUGAAAAUGGGCUUAAUAACUGCUUUGUUAAAAAGAGCAUCUGUGCUGCCGUAUUGCAAC